rnacentral:rRNA from 1 species
AACGAACGCUGGCGGCAUGCCUAACACAUGCAAGUCGAACGAGACCUUCGGGUCUAGUGGCGCACGGGUGCGUAACGCGUGGGAACCUGCCCUUAGGUUCGGAAUAACUCCCCGAAAGGGGUGCUAAUACCGGAUAAUGUCUUCGGACCAAAGAUUUAUCGCCUUUGGAUGGGCCCGCGUUGGAUUAGCUAGUUGGUAGGGUAAAAGCCUACCAAGGCGACGAUCCAUAGCUGGUCUGAGAGGAUGAUCAGCCACACUGGGACUGAGACACGGCCCAGACUCCUACGGGAGGCAGCAGUGGGGAAUAUUAGACAAUGGGCGAAAGCCUGAUCCAGCAAUGCCGCGUGAGUGAUGAAGGCCUUAGGGUUGUAAAGCUCUUUUACCCGGGAUGAUAAUGACAGUACCGGGAGAAUAAGCGCCGGCUAACUCCGU